ensembl:rRNA 5S_rRNA 5S ribosomal RNA
ACUUACAGUCAUACCACACUGAGCACACCCGAUCUCGUACGAUCUCGGAAGCAGUGCAGUGCCGUGCCUGGUUAGUACUUGGAUGGGAGACCACCUGGCAAGACCAGGUGCUGUAAGUA